UACGUAGGGCGCAAGCGUUGUCCGGAAUUAUUGGGCGUAAAGAGCUCGUAGGCGGUCUGUUACGUCCGCUGUGAAAACCCAGGGCUUAACCCUGGGCCUGCAGUGGGUACGGGCAGACUAGAGUGCGGUAGGGGAGACUGGAAUUCCUGGUGUAGCGGUGAAAUGCGCAGAUAUCGUAAGGAAGACCAGUGGCGAAGGCGGGUCUCUGGACGAGUUCCUCGACGCUGAGGCACGAAGGUCAGGGGAGGCAAACGGG
rnacentral:rRNA from 1 species